rnacentral:rRNA from 1 species
UACGGGGGGGGGCAAGCGUUGUUUCGGAAUUACUGGGUGUAAAGGGCGCGUAGGCGGCCUGCUAAGUCGGACGUGAAAUCCCUCGGCUCAACCGGGGAACUGCGUCCGAUACUGGUGGGCUCGAAUCCGGGGAGAGGGAUGUGGAAUUCCAGGUGUAGCGGUGAAAUGCGUAGAUAUCUGGAGGAACACCGGUGGCGAAGGCGGCAUCCUGGACCGGUAUUGACGCUGAUGCGCGAAAGCCAGGGGGAGCAAACGGG